rnacentral:rRNA from 1 species
AGAUUGAACGCUGGCGGCAUGCCUUACACAUGCAAGUCGAACGGCAGCACGGGGGCAACCCUGGUGGCGAGUGGCGAACGGGUGAGUAAUGCAUCGGAACGUGCCCAGUAGUGGGGGAUAACUAGUCGAAAGAUUAGCUAAUACCGCAUACGACCUAUGGGUGAAAGCGGGGAUUCGCAAGAACCUCGCGCUAUCGGAGCGGCCGAUGUCUGAUUAGCUAGUUGGACGGGUAAAAGCCCACCAAGGCGACGAUCAGUAGCUGGUCUGAGAGGACGACCAGCCACACUGGGACUGAGACACGGCCCAGACUCCGUACGGGAGGCAGCAGGUGGGGUAAUUUUGGACAAGUGGGCGCGAAGCCUGACUCCAGCCAUCGCCGCGGUGCGGGGAAGGAACGGGCCGUU